rfam:Paenibacillus bovis strain BD3526, complete genome.
GGGUAAUGUCUCCUGCACCCAUAUCACCGGAGGCACUCGGUCAUGCUGUGGGCUGCCAUGCAGCCUUAGACGUUUAUCGUCAAAGGUAUGAUGAUGAGGACGGGUUGAAUGCCCG